GACGAACCGUGCGAACGUUGUUCGGAAUCACUGGGCUUAAAGGGCGCGUAGGCGGCAGAUCAAGUCCGGGGUGAAAGCCCCCAGCUCAACUGGGGAAGUGCCUUGGAAACUGAUUUGCUGGAGGGAGGUAGGGGUCGAGGGAACUUCUGGUGGGAGCGGUGAAAUGCGUUGAUAUCAGAAGGAACGCCGGUGGCGAAAGCGCUCGACUGGACCUUUUCUGACGCUGAGGCGCGAAAGCUAGGGGAGCAAACGGG
rnacentral:rRNA from 1 species